AUGUGUAUGCGUGUCUGUGUUUGAGAGAGAGUUUGUGUAAAUCUGGGUGAAAAAGGGCAUCUUUUGAAGGAUGCAUUUCAUGUGUCUUUGAAGAGGUGCUUGAAUAAAAACAUUGUCUCCUGCCUUUGUUGUAAAC